AACGCUAGCUACAGGCUUAACACAUGCAAGUCGAGGGGCAGCACUAGGUAGCAAUACUGAGGUGGCGACCGGCGCACGGGUGCGUAACGCGUAUCCAACCUUCCCGUUACUCUGGGAUGGCCUUCCGAAAGGGAGAUUAAUACCGGAUAGUGUUCAAAUGUCGCAUGUUAUUUGAACUAAAGAUUUAUCGGUAACGGAUGGGGAUGCGUGACAUUAGAUAGUAGGCGGGGUAACGGCCCACCUAGUCUACGAUGUCUAGGGGUUCUGAGAGGAAGAUCCCCCACACUGGAACUGAGACACGGUCCAGACUCCUACGGGAGGCAGCAGUGAGGAAUGUUGGUCAAUGGUCGGGAGACUGAACCAGCCAAGUAGCGUGAAGGAUGAAGGUUCUAUGGAUUGUAAACUUCUUUUAUACGGGAAUAAAGCCCACUACAUGUAGUGGUUUGUAUGUACCGUAUGAAUAAGCAUCGGCUAACUCCGUGCCAGCAGCCGCGGUAAUACGGAGGAUGCGAGCGUUAUCCGGAUUUAUUGGGUUUAGAGGGAGCGUAGACGGGGGAUUAAGUCAGUUGUGAAGGGCUGCGGCUCAACCGCAGCACUGCAGUUGAUACUGGUUUCCUUGAGUGCGGUUGAGGUGUAUGGAAUUCGUGAUGUAGCGGUGAAAUGCUUAGAUAUCACGAAGAACUCCGAUUG
rnacentral:rRNA from 1 species